CCGGGGCCCCGCACGGGGGGGUCAGUCGGAGCGGAGCCCCCCCGGCAGCGCCGCAGCGAUGCGCCUGGCGGAGGUGGCUGCGCUGGGUCUGUGGCUGGGCUGCCUGCGCCGGGCGCAGGGCGAGACCUUCACCUCCAUGCUCACCGUCCGGCAGGCGCUGGCCACCGAGACCCGGCUGCUGCGGCACCUGGCAGCCUACCUGGAGGCGGAGACCCGCCGGCUGAAGGACCUGCGGAGGUUUUACAACAAGGUGCAGGAUUUGCACCUAGGAGCCGGGGGCUCUGCGGCGAACCCGUUACUCGCCUACACGCUGAUCAAGAGGCUGCAGUCCGAUUGGCUGAAUGUGGUGCACAGCCUGGAAGCCAGUGAGAACACCCAAGCGCUCAAGGACGGCUACACGCAGGUGGAGAAGGACCUGCCCGAGUUCGAGGACUUGGAGGGAGCAGCACGGGCGCUGAUGAGGCUGCAGGAUGUCUAUGCUCUGAGCGUGAAGGGGCUGGCGAAAGGCGUGUUCCGGAGAGCCAGCGGCACCCACCUCCCCGACAUCUACAGCCCGGGGCAGCUCUUCCCGCUCUCCGCUGAUGACUGCUUCCUCGUCGGCAAGGUGGCGUACGACAUGGCGGAUUACUACCACUCCAUUGCGUGGCUGGAGGAAGCCGUCAGCCUCUUCCGCGUCUCCUACGGGGAGUGGAACACGGAGGACGAGGGCAGCCUAGAGGACGCGCUGGACCAUCUGGCUUUUUCCUAUUUCAAGGCAGGAAAUGUUUCUCAUGCCUUAAGCCUCUCCAGAGAGUUUCUUCACUAUGAUCCCAGCAACAAAAGAAUCGCUAGGAACGUCCUGAAGUAUGAAAAGCUCUUGGUGGAAAGUCCAGAGCGCGCCAAGGCUGAGAUGGGCCUGCAGAGGCCAAAUGUGACUCACCUGCAGACUAGGGACCUCUACGAAGAGCUGUGCCAGACUCUGGGGUCACAGCCAACCCGGUAUCAGAUCGCAGCCCUCCAUUGCUCGUACGAGACCAACGACAGCCCCUACCUGAUCCUCCAGCCGGUGAAAAGAGAGCUGCUCCGGCUGCAGCCGUACGUAGCCCUGUACCAUGACUUCGUCAGUGACCUGGAGGCGGAGAAGAUCAAGGGACUUGCAGCUCCCUGGCUACAGAGAUCAGUGGUUGCCUCGGAAGAGACGCAGCAGAAAGCCGAGUACCGGAUAAGUAAGAGCGCCUGGCUGAAGGACACCGUCGACCCAGUGAUCGUGUCACUAGAUCAGAGGAUCGCAGCCCUGACUGGCUUGAACAUUCGGCCACCGUAUGCAGAGUACCUACAGGUGGUGAAUUAUGGGAUAGGUGGACACUACGAGCCUCAUUUUGACCAUGCCACUUCGAGAAAGAGCCCCCUUUACAGAAUGAAGUCGGGUAACAGACUGGCCACAGUCAUGAUCUAUCUGAGCUCAGUAGAUGCCGGAGGAUCCACUGCCUUUAUCUAUGCAAACCUCAGCGUGCCUGUGGUCAAGAAUGCAGCUCUGUUUUGGUGGAACCUUCACAGGAACGGAGCCGGGAACGGGGACACCCUCCACGCCGGCUGCCCAGUGCUCGCGGGAGACAAAUGGGCCAAAACCUCCAGGAAGACAAUGUGCCUCUAGCACCAGAGCACCACCUACUGGAUUGCCACAUCUCUGCUCUAGCUACAUAGGGAGGUCUCCCAUACAUGUAUUAAGCCAACCUGGCCCUGCUUAGCUUUUGAGAGCUGGGAGGCUCACAACACACAGAGCUCACAUUGAAAUAAACCCAGCAAAGUGGCAAACAAAUGGAUCCACGAACACGGGCAGGAGUUCCGAAGGCGGUGCGGCCCCGACCCGGACGACUAAGGGCCGGAGCAGAGCGUGAGCACCCCACCCGAUCCAAAGGCCUGGGAGGAGGUGGGGGAUGGAAACCCACCGCCAUCGGAGCCAGAAGCAGGGACCACCUGGAAAAGCCAGCUGGAAUAUGGCCUGCUGCCAAGGCACGUCUCAGCCAGGCUUCCUCUGCUGCGUAUUGAGUCUAAGGAUCUAGGAGGGGGGAAUGGAACAAAAGUCACUGUGGGAGGGGAGCAGGGAACUUGUAAGGAGAGAAAGAGGCUGCUGGGUGCGCCGGAGCUGGCUCAGCUGGGGAACAAGAACAGCAUAAAGGGCGUGAUGCCGUUCCUAGGACGUUUCCAUGGCCAAGGGGGAGGAACUAGGCUGAGGGCCAGAGUCUGAUUUCAGUUACACUGACUGUGUUGAGUCUGGAGUUAUUCACUGACUUCAACACUAGGUUGGCACCAGUGUCAUUUAGAGCAGAGUUUGGUCUAUCAGGGGGAAAUAGAGCAAAGGGAGACUGAAUAGCUGGGGCAGUCCCCUAAUGGGGUGACUCUGACCUGAACAAUAUGCUGGAGGAAUCAGUGUUGCAUUGGGUGAGGGUAAGGCAGCGGUACUCAAUUAGAUCUACCUGGAUCCAGGCUGACUGGAGAACGUUAUGACCCGAGGCAGGCCGUUUGCGCAGAAGACUGACAUUUUUAAAAAAAAAAAUAAUUUCGGCUGCCAAUAAAUAAAGACCUUGACUGCAACACAAGUAUUAGUGUUUCUAUCUUCUAACCAAGUCUACAACUCACCAUUAUUCCCUGUGUUUGUGGCAAUCUCUAAUGGGAGAGGAGACAUGGAUGACUCUGGCAGGCUUUGUGAGGAGGGGUU